CAUUCGUUUGUUUGCUCCUGGCUUUUUCAGUUUCGAUUCUGGCUCUCGCGUUUGCGCUGCCUGUUUCUUUGCUUGCGAUUCUGGCACAAACUUCACAUGUGGGUGGGUGUCUGUGGGGUGCAUUCCUAUUGGCUGAUGCGUUUUGACUGACAGCUUUACUAUGGAUUCAAGCGCAAGAGCUACCCACCUCCCCCCCUCCCCAGUAGGUAGUGGUGCAACGCUCUUUUUGGCCACUAUGUACAGUUAUAUGCGAUGUGGCGCUAUUGAGCACAGUAUGUCAACCGCCAUAUGAAGAAGAAGAAGAUAUUGACCACAGUAAGUUCCGUGGAGCUAGCUACACCAAAGCCAUCGAUGGGCUACACGCGUUAUGGACUCAAAACAAUGGGUUUUCCUCACUACUCAUUAACCCAAGAACAACUCAUCGUGAUGGAGCACCUGUACUCCCUGAUACAGCAGGAUCUGAGGGGAUUCCUCAGACAGGACGCAGAUGUGGAUUGACAACAUCCUGCAGUUUGACCUGUUCAACCGACCUCUUCUCUGUCCCAUACACACCUUUGUCCCAUACACGUCUUUGGUCAACCUCUGCUUCAUUGCCAUCACAACCAUCGGUCCCUGUUUCAUCUGCAGCACAACACAGCACAGCUGACGGCCUCUUCUCCAUCUGCAGCACAGCACCACACACCAGACAGAGUCCGCUGCGUCUUUCACACACCUGGUGGAUCCUAUUGUGUGCCUCACAUACCUGAGAGACUCUGCUCCACAGUACCUGCAGGCUCUGCCCUGCCCCACCCCUCGCACACCCGAUGGACCUAGCUGUGUCCCUCACAUACACAAUGCACUGUACCCCAUCCCUCACACAGCCGAUGGACCUAGCUGUGUCCCUCACAUACACAAUGCGCUGUACCCCAUCACUCACACACCCGAUGGAUCUAGCUGUGUCCCUCACAUACACAAUGCGCUGUACCCCAUCCCUCACACACCCAACAGACCCUGUUGUGUCUCUAACACACACAGCAGGCUUUGCCCAGCCCCUCAGGGUGGCUCUGAAAUCUGUGGCUUUCACACUCCCAACAGACGCUGCUCUCUCCCUCACACACCCGGCUGGCUCUGCCCGGUCCGUUGCACACCUGCAGACUUCCAGCCGCCACAAACCCAGCUCACCCUUCUCCUGCUGUGUCCUUUACAAACCAAAAAACGCAGCUAUGCUCCGCACAUGACUAGCUGACUCUGCCUGGUCCCUUGCACACCCAGUGGACGUGGACACUGUUGUGACUGUUGAUAUUGCUGUUAUUGUUGAUAUACAUAGGUUUCUCGUUUACCAACUAUACAGGCUGCGCACGCAUCCGAGAGGCAGAAAAUGCCAAGCUACAUUACAAAGUUACCAAGUAGUUGGAUGUUAAGAAUGGUAAGCUUAUAUGCUAUGAUUAAUUAAGCAAUGAAAAAGUGAUGUUAUCUUCCAAAAAAAUGUAUUUAUUCAGUCAGAGUUCCCAAAAGUACAGCUUGAUGAUGGUAUUGACAAACAUACUGGGAAGGCAGAGCGCCGAAGCGCGUCUGUGUGAAUAAAUGGUGAUUGCUUAUGCAUA